rnacentral:rRNA from 1 species
GACGAACGCUGGCGGCGUGCUUAACACAUGCAAGUCGAACGCUGAAGCUCAGCUUUUGUUGGGUGGAUGAGUGGCGAACGGGUGAGUAACACGUGAGUAACCUGCCCCCUUCUUUGGGAUAACGCCCGGAAACGGGUGCUAAUACUGGAUAUUCACUGGUCUUCGCAUGGGGGUUGGUGGAAAGGGUUUUUCUGGUGGGGGAUGGGCUCGCGGCCUAUCAGCUUGUUGGUGGGGUGAUGGCCUACCAAGGCUUUGACGGGUAGCCGGCCUGAGAGGGUGACCGGUCACAUUGGGACUGAGAUACGGCCCAGACUCCGACGGGAGGAAGCAGUGGGGAAUAUUGCACAAUGGGCGCAAGCCUGAUGCAGCGACGCCGCGUGAGGGAUGGAGGCCUUCGGGUUGUGAACCUCUUUCGCUCAUGGUCAAGCCGCAACAAUGGUUGUGGUGAGGGUAGUGGGUAAAGAAGCGCCGGCUAACUACGUG